UCUUAAUUUCUCAUACUCUCCCACCGGACAGAAUGGCGAGAGAGUGUGUGAAAUGAAGAGA
rnacentral:pre_miRNA from 1 species